AGUGAACGCUGGCGGUAGGCCUAACACAUGCAAGUCGAACGGCAGCACAGUAAGAGCUUGCUCUUACGGGUGGCGAGUGGCGGACGGGUGAGGAAUACAUCGGAAUCUACUUUUUCGUGGGGGAUAACGUAGGGAAACUUACGCUAAUACCGCAUACGACCUACGGGUGAAAGCAGGAGAUCUUCGGACCUUGCGCGAUUGAAUGAGCCGAUGUCGGAUUAGCUAGUUGUCGGGGUAAAGGCCCACCAAGGCGACGAUCCGUAGCUGGUCUGAGAGGAUGAUCAGCCACACUGGAACUGAGACACGGUCCAGACUCCUACGGGAGGCAGCAGUGGGGAAUAUUGGACAAUGGGCGCAAGCCUGAUCCAGCCAUACCGCGUGGGUGAAGAAGGCCUUCGGGUUGUAAAGCCCUUUUGUUGGGAAAGAAAAGCAGCAGGUUAAUACCCCGCUGUUCUGACGGUACCCAAAGAAUAAGCACCGGCUAACUUCGUG
rnacentral:rRNA from 1 species